UCCCAGGUGGCUUAGCAGUAAAGAAUCUGCCUGCCAAUGCAGGAGACACAGGUUUGAUCCCUGAGUUGGGAA
rnacentral:tRNA from 1 species